rnacentral:lncRNA from 1 species
GAAUGUGUGUUGCUCCUUGUGGCAGGUAUACUGUUCCAAUGCCCUGGGAUCUCUGUAGUGGUCGGUACUGUAUUGAUUAUAAAUGGUGAAGUCCUAGUAUCUUGCUAGAGUGAGCUGGCCAGGAUGGUGGAGCUCUACCACCAUUUCACAGGUUAUAGACAGGGGCCACCAGGUUUCAGGAAAGCAGCAAUGACCCCUCAGUAAUAGUUGGAAAGUGUGAUAUGACACUGAGCUUCACUGUGUUGGUGAAGAAGAGGUGAGGAAAAUAAAAGCUGCAGUUUGCCUCCACCUCUGAAGAAGCACAAUACACCUUUCUGGGUUACCAAUGGGAUACUUCCCAACAGCUUUGUCAUCACAUACAAUAUUCUCAAACAAGAUCUUAAUGGCAUCUACUUUCUCCAGGAACACAGCCCCUGACCUGUGUGUGUUUGCGUAGAGAAGGCAUGCUAUGUACCCCCUAGGAUAUCAAGAUUCCUGUAGCAGAUUGAGCUCUGGCAGUUGAUCUCAGUGGCUUGAUAGAGUGUCAUUAUAAAAACGCACCUGGAAGAUUCUGUGGAAAAGACAACCUCAGAAGACCAAGGAAUCUGCCCACCACUCAAGCCUGGGAAAGCUGGCAGAGGAUGCACGUGUUUUACUCACCUGAGUGUUUACAAUGCUCGUGAGGUGCCUCCCUGAUAGAUAGAUUGACGGUGUCUAAAAAUUUCAAAGGAUACAGAAGGACAUCAACACCAGAACUGAAUUUUCACACUGGGAACAGCUUAUUCUAUGGAACUGUACUGUUAGCACAGAAUGCAUUGGCCAAAUAUCUCUCUGAGGGGAGAGUGAGUGUUUUAAAUCACACACAGGGUGAUAAUAUGAAUGUGGAUGAUAUUAGAAAAAUAUCAGUGAUCAUGGUA